rnacentral:rRNA from 1 species
GAUGAACGCUGGCGGCGUGCUUAACACAUGCAAGUCGAACGAAGCACUUUGAUCGAUUUCUUCGGAUUGAAAUUUUAGUGACUGAGUGGCGGACGGGUGAGUAACGCGUGGGUAACCUGCCUCACACAGGGGGAUAACAGUUGGAAACGGCUGCUAAUACCGCAUAAGCGCACAGUACCGCAUGGUACAGUGUGAAAAAACUCCGGUGGUGUGAGAUGGACCCGNGUCUGAUUAGCUAGUUGGCAGGGCAACGGCCUACCAAGGCGACGAUCAGUAGCCGACCUGAGAGGGUGACCGGCCACAUUGGGACUGAGACACGGGCCCAAAACUCCUACGGGAGCAGCAGUGGGGAAUAUUGCACAAUGGAGGAAACUCUGAUGCAGCGACGCCGCGUGAGUGAAGAAGUAGUUCGCUAUGUAAAAGCUCUAUCAAGCAGGGAAGAUAGUGACGGUACCU